rnacentral:rRNA from 1 species
CCAGACUCCUACGGGAGGCAGUAGUGGGGAAUAUUGCACAAUGGGGGAAACCCUGAUGCAGCGACGCCGCGUGAGCGAUGAAGUAUUUCGGUAUGUAAAGCUCUAUCAGCAGGGAAGAAAAUGACGGUACCUGACUAAGAAGCCCCGGCUAACUACGUGCCAGCAGCCGCGGUAAUACGUAGGGGGCAAGCGUUAUCCGGAUUUACUGGGUGUAAAGGGAGCGUAGACGGCGGUGCAAGCCUGAUGUGAAAGCCCGGGGCUCAACCCCGGGACUGCAUUUGGAACUGUGCUGCUAGAGUGUCGGAGAGGCAGGCGGAAUUCCUAGUGUAGCGGUGAAAUGCGUAGAUAUUAGGAGGAACACCGGUGGCGAAGGCGGCUUGCUGGACUGUAACUGACGUUGAGGCUCGAAAGCGUGGGGAGCAAACAGGAUUAGAUACCCCCGUA